rnacentral:rRNA from 1 species
AACGAACGCUGGCGGCAGGCCUAACACAUGCAAGUCGAACGCAUCGCAAGAUGAGUGGCGCACGGGUGAGUAACACGUGGGAAUGUAUCCUUUGGUUCGGAAUAACGUCUGGAAACGGACGCUAAUACCGGAUGAGCCCUUAGGGGGAAAGAUUUAUCGCCGAAGGAGCAGCCCGCGUCUGAUUAGGUAGUUGGUGGGGUAAAGGCCUACCAAGCCGACGAUCAGUAGCUGGUCUGAGAGGAUGAUCAGCCACACUGGGACAGAUACACGGCCCAGACUCCUACGGGAGGCAGCAGGGGGGAAUAUUGGACAAUGGGCGCAAGCCUGAUCAAGCCAUGCCGCGUGAGUGAUGAAGGCCUUCGGGUUGUAAAGCUCUUUCGCACACGACGAUGAUGACGGUAGUGUGAGAAGAAGCCCCGGCUAACUUCGUGCCAGCAGCCGCCGCCGUAA